CAGCCGCCGCGGUAAUACGAAGGGUGCAAGCGUUAAUCGGAAUUACUGGGCGUAAAGCGUGCGUAGGCGGUUUGUUAAGUCUGCUGUGAAAUCCCCGGGCUCAACCUGGGAAUGGCAGUGGAUACUGGCAAGCUAGAGUGUGUCAGAGGAUGGUGGAAUUCCCGGUGUAGCGGUGAAAUGCGUAGAGAUCGGGAGGAACAUCAGUGGCGAAGGCGGCCAUCUGGGACAACACUGAUGCUGAGGCACGAAAGCGUGGGGAGCAAACAGGAUUAGAUACCCCCGUAGUCCCUGUCUCUUAUAC
rnacentral:rRNA from 1 species